rnacentral:rRNA from 1 species
GAUGAACGCUGGCGGCGUGCCUAAUACAUGCAAGUUGAACGCACAGCGAAAGGUGCUUGCACCUUUCAAGUGAGUGGCGAACGGGUGAGUAACACGUGGAUAACCUACCUCAAGGUUGGGGAUAACAUUUGGAAACAGAUGCUAAUACCGAAUAAAACUUAGUAUCGCAUGAUACCAGGUUAAAAGGCGCUACGGCGUCACCUAGAGAUGGAUCCGCGGUGCAUUAGUUAGUUGGUGGGGUAAAGGCUUACCAAGACAAUGAUGCAUAGCCGAGUUGAGAGACUGAUCGGCCACAUUGGGACUGAGACACGGCCCAAACUCCUACGGGAGGCUGCAGUAGGGAAUCUUCCACAAUGGGCGAAAGCCUGAUGGAGCAACGCCGCGUGUGUGAUGAAGGCUUUCGGGUCGUAAAGCACUGUUGUAUGGGAAGAACAGCUAGAGUAGGGAAUGACUUUAGUUUGACGGUACCAUACCAGAAAGGGACGGCUAAAUACGUGCCAGCAGCCGCGGUAAUACGUAUGUCCCGAGCGUUAUCCGGAUUUAUUGGGCGUAAAGCGAGCGCAGACGGUUAAUUAAGUCUGAUGUGAAAGCCCGGAGCUCAACUCCGGAAAGGCAUUGGAAACUGGUUAACUUGAGUGCAGUAGAGGUAAGUGGAACUCCAUGUGUAGCGGUGGAAUGCGUAGAUAUAUGGAAGAACACCAGCGGCGAAGGCGGCUUACUGGACUGUAACUGACGUUGAGGCUCGAAAGUGUGGGUAGCAAACAGG